ensembl:lncRNA
GGCACUUUGGAGCUCAGGGCGCAUCCCACACCACCACGCACAGAUCAGCCCAAGGAGCCCAAGUUCCUCCGGAGCAGCCUGCAGCCAGGUCGGGGACAGCCCCACAGCGCAGCACCACACGUCUGUUGGCUCAGCCAUGAACAAGACGCUCUUUGAGCGUUGUCCAGCCCAGACCCCAGGGGAGGCCGUGCUGGAAAAGCCCAGCCGUGCUUUCCAGAGCUGGUGCCACGUGGGGAGCUCUGCCCGGGAAGGCAGAAACUGUCAGGCUAAAGCACGCUCAGGCUGAAUUCAUAUUCAGCAGCAAACGCUUCUGAAGAGGGUACAGGAAACCACACAGUAAAAAUAUGCAGGAUCAUUUGCCUCCGCGCUGGAAAUCUCCUCCUAUCCCCCCUAAACGUGAAGUUGACCUUAUCUCUUCUUGCAAAACCCUCUGUUUUAGCAUUAGCUAAUCUGCUGCAGAUAGUCCUGCUGCUGCCCACCGUUACAUGUUGACUCUUCCCGAGUCUUGCUCCAUUUCUGGCUCUGGCAACUUGGCAAUCUCAGCCGGCAGCGAGCUCAGCAGCCCGGCCACGUGCCGUGCACUUUGAUCAGCCGUUCCACCUCAUUUUCCAUCCCCGCUCCAGCAUCCAGCCGCCUCGUCCCUCGGACACAGCCUGUGCCUCCUGUGAGGCGCAGCCAAGCGGUGCCCCACGCAAAGGGAGCUUGCCCACCCUCGUAAAUAAACCCUUUGAACGUAUCCCUGGAGCACCAGGGCGUGAGGAAGGCAGGGAGCACGCACGUAUCUCACGGCCAAGCUCGGCGGUGGAAUUUCCAUCAGUUAUCGAUGGAAACACCAGCGAACGUUUUGCUCAGCGAAGGGAGAAACAGCAGCUGGAAAGGAGAGAGUGGACAAGACACUGAGCUUGCUUUCGAAUAACCCUUCAGCCUCAGGGCAUUUUCGCUGUACGGUUCCCUCCUGCCGCCCUGCCAUCGUGCCCCGCGAGCCACUCGAUGCUGCCCGCACAUCCCAUGCACCCCACGUGCUCCCGGCGGCUGCAGGAGGAGUGGAGCGGCCUCGGCUCCAGGGCUGAGUCCCCAGCAGGAAGCCCAGGACCUGCCCGUGACCCUGCGAUUAUCUUCUGCAAGAGCCGGCCGUGCAAGGACACCUCCGCCUGCACUCCUGGCUGUGCCUACGCGCUGCCUCGCCUGCUGCGGGCGGACGGACGGAGCAGCCAUGAGGACAGCGACCCCACAGCCACAGCGUGGGGGCGGCGGGGCCGUGCUUUGAGGAGCACGUGCAGCCCCACGCAGGAGGCGCGUUCGCCAGGCUGCCUGCGGUUAGCCGGCAGGCUUUUUGCAGGGAGCAGCCAUGGAUGCGGGAAGCAGCUUGGCUGGGAGCGUGUCACGGUUCUGCCCGGUCUUGCAGCUGCCUGCCAGGCGCCGCGCAAACACGGCCCCGGCGAACGUGCCGCCCUCGCCUCUCAUCCGCUCUGCGCUUUGCUGGGCUCCAAGAUCAGCCCCACCUCGGCUGGGCGAGCAGGAGCCGCUCCUGCCCCACCAGCCGAGGGCUCCCAGCCUCAGCUGCUGAGAGACCCGGGUGUGCAGGGGGAGAGCUCCUUCGGUUUUCUCCCGAAGAAAUCUCCCGUCUCAUUGCCAAGCACGUCCGCAGCCCUUCAGUGGACACAGGAGUGGAUGCAAUCCUCUGCGCUGUUUCCACAUCCUGUUUUCUUUCUUCUUCUUCUAUUCUUUUUUUUUUCUUUUUUUUUUCCAUUCUCAGCUUCAUCUUCUAAUUUGCUCCCCGUUUUCUCACUCCUUUCCCCCACUCCUGUCUCUAUCCCCUCCUUUUUGCUUUUCCAUGCAUCCUUUUUAAUACUUUAUCUGUUCUCCAACGUCCUUUUCCGCUUUCCCAUCUCCCAGCCUAACCCUCCUGCGCUGCCCCAUCUGCACGGCAACAAACGGGACCAGCAGUCGGCAGCCCCAAAAUGCAAACAGCAGCUGCCCGCAGGCCACAUCCCUGGAGCACGGCGCAGCAAGAAUUCCCCUUGCUGCAUCCCACGGCCCUGAAACCACAAAGCCCUGUCCCGAGGAAAGCCACACAGCAUCAUCUCCUGGGGGAUAAACAGUAAGCUAGACGGGGCUGGCGUUUUAGGCUGAAAAAGCCUUUGGGGCUGUUGGUGACUGCAGCCGGCACCUUGUUCUCCAUCUCACCUCAAAGAAUUGUACCUGCCUUAGGAAGGAUGCUGAGCGGGGAGGGAGGAGGCCACCCAUUCCCUGCAGCACAGCACCCUCUAGCCUCCGCUGGGGCCGCAGCUCUUCGCUGGUCCCAAGGAGGACCUCCAGCACCGGCAUUCAGCCAGGCGUCCUCCGGUGUGUCCCGACACAUCCAGCCCUGUGUGCCGCCAGCACAACGCCCUCGUGGCGCGACCAGCAGUUACACAGAGGGUGGAUCUCGGGGGAAUUUCGUGGAUCGGGAUCUUAAAGCUGGAGCUGCUCCGUGCUGAGCCACUGUGUGGUAAAGCAGAUGCCAGGGCUGAAAGGCUUUGCGAGGGGGAGCCCAGGGGGGGCAGAGGUGGUGCCAGCCCAUGAAGGAAUCAUUACGGUGGCAGCAGCGCUGCUUAUUUCCUCCAGCCCUUGCUUUAAUUUAACUCGGCGGUGGUACAGGCAAGGUUUCCAGAGGGGCUGUGUGGCCCUCACACCCCCUUCCUUUCUGCACCUCCACGAAACAAAGCUCUGGCUCUUUGCACCCCAACACCACCACCCUUUCCCCCGAAUCACAACUGCAACCUCACUCUUCGUCCCCACCCUCCUCCAAACGCAGUCUGCGCUCCCCACCUCCCAGCCCAGCCCCAUCCCCACUAUUUUGGCACGAGGCAGUGCUUCCACCUCUGCUUGCUUCAUUUCCAUAAAUACUGCUCUUUAGGAAGAGGCUCUUGCCCACCCCUCAAGCAGUACUAAAGUUCAGGUUUUUGUAGGGGACCGAUAAUCCCACCGUUCGGUUCACCGAGCUCCUCCAGUUUGCAGGAUUGCAAACUCAUUCACCACUACUUCUAUCGCAACUUCUCCAGGGGAAGUAUUUCACAAGCAAGCACUGAAAAAAAAAAAAAAAAAAGCGUGGCUUUAGCAGUCUCCCUGGCUGGCUUCCUGAGGCUGGAUAAUCAUAGCCUUUCCAAACUCCAACCUCAGGAACACGGCAUAAUGGCAAAUGUCAGGCAGACCACUCGGAAUUAAGCAGAAGACAAACAGCUUCCUUUAUUCGGUGUGACAUCUUGGGAAUGCUCCAGGAGCAGCUCAUACGUCUCCCUGGCUGUGCUGUGUUCAUUUGUUCCCUCCUGCUCUCCUCCGACAGCUCCCUUCCCAGCUUGAUCUGCCUGCCCGAUACCCGCUGCUCAAGCGCUGCCUCCCCUGCACACCGACACUCCUCUUUGUGCCUGCAGCUGUGUCUCAAUUCACCAAAAUUUGGGACAAAGGGGCAGAAAUGGCUCCCAGCAAACAAAAAGCGCUAUCGUAGGUGGCUCCUGUUGGGAACAGGUCUGCUCAGCCUGGCAGCUUUUGGUGCAGGGGAUGAGGAUUUCACCUCGCCAGGCUCCCUGGAAAAUUCGGGAGUGUUGUGGCAUGGAUCCAGCUGAGGGAGAUACUGAAGGAUCCUUCCCCUGCCAGGCUUGGGGAAGCAGGCAGUGUCUGAGUGCCACGGAGCACCCAGGAGCAGGAGGCAGACCCCGUCCUCCCCCAGCACACAGCACCCAGGAGUUCGGUUCCCAAAGCCUCUUCCCCCAGCCGGCAGCUGUGGCUGACACGGGGUAAAAGCAGUGAGCUGGCUGUCAGGAAUCUGUGGACAGAGCCGGCUGAGCACAGCCUGGUAAAGCGCUCAGCUCAGUGGCAUUUCUCUUUUGGCCUAAAGAAUUUGGGAACGCAGCAGCCUAUCUGCUCUGAAAUGAUGAGUCCCUGUGAUAGCAGGCAGAGCCCUCUUGGUUUGGCAGAAAACCAGAAAAAAAAGAGUCAGAAAGUCGCUAGCGCUGGGCAGCAGAAGACAUGCCUUCAGCCACAGGAAGGGACCAGGGACCUCUGGUCUGCAGGGGACGAAAGGGUGGACAGCAGUAACCCGGUAAGGCAGAGGUUAGUCACCAAGUUCUAUAAUUAGGAAAUAAAUAGCGUGCUAAAUAAACCCA